GGGGUGGUAGCUCAGUGGUAGAGUGCCUGCUUAGCACUUGUGAGGCCCUGGGUUUAAUCCCCAGCACCCCA
rnacentral:tRNA from 1 species